rfam:Capsicum annuum cultivar Zunla-1 chromosome 3, whole genome shotgun sequence
UGUUAGUGACGUAGGCAGUCCCUGAGAACAAACUUGAAUCCCUCCCAUUAAUGAUAUAAGUUUUCAUAUGUCUUCUGCUUAAAAUUUAAAAUCUCACUUCUUAACUU